rnacentral:rRNA from 1 species
AACGAACGCUGGCGGCAGGCUUAACACAUGCAAGUCGAGCGCCCCGCAAGGGGAGCGGCAGACGGGUGAGUAACGCGUGGGAAUCUACCCAUCUCUACGGAAUAACGCAUGGAAACGUGUGCUAAUACCGUAUACGUCCUUCGGGAGAAAGAUUUAUCGGAGAUGGAUGAGCCCGCGUUGGAUUAGCUAGUUGGUGGGGUAAAGGCCUACCAAGGCGACGAUCCAUAGCUGGUCUGAGAGGAUGAUCAGCCACACUGGGACUGAGACACGGCCCAGACUCCUAGGGGAGGCAGCAGUGGGGAAUAUUGGACAAUGGGCGCAAGCCUGAUCCAGCCAUGCCGGGUGAGUGAUGAAGGCCCUAGGGUUGUAAAGCUCUUUCACCGGUGAAGAUAAUGACGGUAACCGGAGAAGAAGCCCCGGCUAACUUCGUGCCAGCCGCCGCAGUAAGAC